rnacentral:rRNA from 1 species
GUGGGGAAUUUUGGACAAUGGGCGCAAGCCUGAUCCAGCAAUGCCGCGUGCAGGAAGAAGGCCUUCGGGUUGUAAACUGCUUUUGUACGGAACGAAACGGUCCGGGUUAAUACCCUGGGCUAAUGACGGUACCGUAAGAAUAAGCACCGGCUAACUACGUGCCAGCAGCCGCGGUAAUACGUAGGGUGCAAGCGUUAAUCGGAAUUACUGGGCGUAAAGCGUGCGCAGGCGGUUUUGUAAGACAGGCGUGAAAUCCCCGGGCUCAACCUGGGAAUUGCGCUUGUGACUGCAAGGCUGGAGUGCGGCAGAGGGGGAUGGAAUUCCGCGUGUAGCAGUGAAAUGCGUAGAUAUGCGGAGGAACACCGAUGGCGAAGGCAAUCCCCUGGGCCUGCACUGACGCUCAUGCACGAAAGCGUGGGGAGCAAACAGGAUUAGAAACCUGGUAGUCC